rnacentral:rRNA from 1 species
GACGAACGCUGGCGGCGUGCCUAACACAUGCAAGUCGAGCGAGUGGAGUUCUUCGGAACAAAGCUAGCGGCGGACGGGUGAGUAACACGUGGGCAACCUGCCUCAUAGAGGGGAAUAGCCUCCCGAAAGGGAGAUUAAUACCGCAUAAGGUUGUAGCUUCGCAUGAAGUAGCAAUUAAAGGAGCAAUCCGCUAUGAGAUGGGCCCGCGGCGCAUUAGCUAGUUGGUGAGGUAACGGCUCACAAAGGCGACGAUGCGUAGCCGACCUGAGAGGGUGAUCGGCCACAUUGGGACUGAGACACGGCCCAGACUCCUACGGGAGGCAGCAGUGGGGAAUAUUGCACAAUGGGGGAAACCCUGAUGCAGCAACGCCGCGUGAGUGAUGACGGCCUUCGGGUUGUAAAGCUCUGUCUUCAGGGACGAUAAUGACGGUACCUGAGGAGGAAGCCACGGCUAACUACGUGCCAGCAGCCGCAGUAAAAC